AUUGAACGCUGGCGGCAGGCCUAACACAUGCAAGUCGAGCGGAUGAAGGGAGCUUGCUCCUGGAUUCAGCGGCGGACGGGUGAGUAAUGCCUAGGAAUCUGCCUGGUAGUGGGGGACAACGUUUCGAAAGGAACGCUAAUACCGCAUACGUCCUACGGGAGAAAGCAGGGGACCUUCGGGCCUUGCGCUAUCAGAUGAGCCUAGAUCGGAUUAGCUAGUUGGUGAGGUAAUGGCUCACCAAGGCGACGAUCCGUAACUAGUCUGAGAGGAUGAUCAGUCACACUGGAACUGAGACACGGUCCAGACUCCUACGGGAGGCAGCAGUGGGGAAUAUUGGACAAUGGGCGAAAGCCUGAUCCAGCCAUGCCGCGUGUGUGAAGAAGGUCUUCGGAUUGUAAAGCACUUUAAGUUGGGAGGAAGGGUUGUAGAUUAAUACUCUGCAAUUUUGACGUUACCGACAGAAUAAGCACCGGCUAACUCUGUGCCAGCCGCCGCAGUAAAAC
rnacentral:rRNA from 1 species